ACACAUGGAAAUAGAUAGAAAUAGAGAUGCGAUGAAAGAGAGGCAGAGAGGCAACGAAAGAGAUAAAGAGAAGCAGAGAAAGAGAGAGAGAAAUACGAUAUACACGGAGAGAGAUACGAUAUACGAUAGAAAUAGAGGGGGGCAAUGAGGCCUGGGACACGGAGAGAGAAACAGAGAAGAGAAAGAGGCAGAACGGUAAAGAGUACAUCGAUUGGGCAUAAGAAAUCAAAACAGGAUUACUGUCAGUUUUUCCGCCGCCAUCCGUUCCCUCGCCAGACUCAGAACACCGAAACCGUAGGCAAACACAGGAAUUGAUAUUGAGGGAGAGAAAUCUAAGUGCCAUUAACUCCGUCGAUCAGAUCGCCGAAAUUGCCACCGGUACUAGAAACAGAGUUAAUUGUGUUGAUGGCUCUAUAGUUAAAGACAUCGAAUGCUCUAAUUUAGCUGGUGUUACUCUUGAAAGGUCUUUUGAUGGUUCACAAGAUAAUAAAUCUUCUAAGUGCUUCAAAUGUCCUUCAGAGAAGGCAAUUCUUUCAUUCCUUUGGCUUAGAGCGUCUAUAAAGAUGUGCAUUGUUGUGGUUUCUAGCAACUCAAGUUUUUAAUUUUGGCCUUCACAAUGACUUCCACUCAUGAUUUGCAUGUUCUAAAAUCUAAAUUGCAGGGGAUGAUGAAGUCUUUGAUGUAUACUGUGUUACUUUUGAAAUGGUGUGCUUAAUGGUGCUAUGCAUGCUUCUUACAUGGAGUUUAAUGUACAAUCUCUGUUAGAGUCUAAAGUUGCACCACUACUAUGUUCCUGUUAUUGUAUUUAGUUAUAAAAUAUUCAUUGACGUACUUUUAAUUAAUAAGCAGUUGUUAGCAAAUAUUAAGGUAGUUAGCAUUGUACUGGGAUUACUGUAUGUGUAGUCUUAGGUUGUCUUAAGACGAUUCGCGGUCACAUUCUAAUUAAAUGAAAUCAUACUGAGUUCAAGCUUGAGGCUGAGCUGAUAUUGUAUGAAA